rnacentral:lncRNA from 1 species
GUUAACCAGUAGGGGUAUUUUGGUAAUUUUUUUUUUAAAAACAGAAAUUAUUUAUAUACUUAUAUAUCUAUCUAUUCCAUGUUUAUAUCCAUGUUUAUAUCCCUGUUUAUAUCCCUGUUUAUAUAAAUAAAAAUAUCAUAAACAAUAUAGUCAUUCAAAAUAGUCAUUCAAAAUAGUAAUGCAAAUAAGUAAUUAAUUCCAUAAUGUAAUUCAAAAUAUCCUAAGCCUAAGAUAUCUAGAUAUCUAGAUAUCAUCAUUUUCUACGUUUUGAGCCCUCCUUGUGUAGGCUCCAAGUCUUUCAUGUAUUCCUAUAGCCUCCUCUACUGUAGCCCAAGUGAGUCCAUCAUCUGUGUACACAAACUCAUUUGAUGGUCCUUCAAUUCCAGUCAUCCAUUCACUAGAGAAGUUCAAUUCUUCAAGGCAUAUGGGAUCAUAUUUGAUUGCACCUUCCUCUUCAAGUAGUUUAGCCCUUUCACUUCUUUCAUGGAGUUUUGCGUUGUAAUUUACGAACACUAGAUCAUUGNNN